UACGAAGGGUGCUAGCGUUGUUCGGAAUCACUGGGCGUAAAGCGCGCGUAGGCGGCUUAGCAAGUCAGGGGUGAAAUCCCACAGCUUAACUGUGGAACUGCCUUUGAAACUGCUAAGCUAGAGUGUCGGAGGGGAUGGCGGAAUUCCUAAUGUAGAGGUGAAAUUCGUAGAUAUUAGGAGGAACACCGGUGGCGAAGGCGGCCAUCUGGACGACAACUGACGCUGAGGCGCGAAAGCGUGGGGAUCAAACAGG
rnacentral:rRNA from 1 species